rnacentral:misc_RNA from 1 species
AGUGAGUCAUCGAAAUUUUGAACGCAUAUUGCACUUCCGGGUUAGUCCUGGGAGUAUGCCUGUAUCAGUGUCCGUACAUCAAACUUGGUUUUCUUCCUUCCGUGUAGUCGGUGGUGGAUGUGCCAGAUGUGAAGUGUCUUGCGGCUGGUCUUCGGAUCGGCUGUGAGUCCUUUGAAAUGUACUGAACUGUACUUCUCUUUGCUCCAAAAGCGUGGCGUUGCUGAUUGUGGAGGCUGCUUGCGUAGCCAGUCUGGCGACCAGUUUGUCUGCUGUGGCGUUAAUGGAGGAGUGUUCGAUUCGCGGUAUGGUUGGCUUCGGCUGAACAGACGCUUAUUGAAUAUUUCUUCAGCUGUGGUGGUAUGAUUGGUGAACCGUAGCUAUGUGAGCUUGGCUUUUGAAUUGGCUUUGCUGUUG